UACGAAGGGGGCUAGCGUUGCUCGGAAUGACUGGGCGUAAAGGGCGCGUAGGCGGAUGGCACAGUCAGAUGUGAAAUUCCCGGGCUUAACCUGGGGGCUGCAUUUGAUACGUGUGAUCUAGAGUGAGGAAGAGGGUCGUGGAAUUCCCAGUGUAGAGGUGAAAUUCGUAGAUAUUGGGAAGAACACCGGUGGCGAAGGCGGUCUGCUGGGGUAAUGCUGACACUGAUGCGCGACAGCGUGGGGAGCAAACAGGG
rnacentral:rRNA from 1 species